rnacentral:lncRNA from 1 species
UAAAAAAUAUAUAUAUAUAUACACAUAUAUAUGGAUGAUAUUUUAAUCCCCUUAAGAUGUAUGAAAAUAGCCUGCAGGAUUUAAUUCUGGAAAAAUGUUAAAAUCAAAAGUGGCUUAGUUGUUUGGCAGGCCCUAAGAUCUGUUUCUGAAAUCACCAGCAUUGCCCAGUGUAUUGGGCUUUUUCCCAGCCUGCUGUGGUGUCCAGUUAUGGUGAUUUUUCGUAAAGGCACAGCUUCCUUCUCUGCACGUUUCUGGCUCUCAAAGCAUCCUCUGGUAAGCCACUGUCUUUUGAAGAUGGGCUCUCCCCUUGUCAUGGUUGUUGCAGAACCCAGGAAGGCCGCAGAGGUAGAGAGUUACAAGGAAAAGGGCUGGG